GUUUUCCCGUGAGAAGAGCUGGGAGUGGGCAUGGACACCGUCGCCUCCCUGUCGCCUCUGCGCCACGGCCACCCAUCUUCUUCGUCGCCGGCGUCAUGCAAUACCAGUCGCCCUAGUCCGUGGCUGCUCAAGCUCAAGCAGAGGAGCUUGAUCAGUAGCAGUAACUCACUACCAGCCCGGCCAAGGGCAUGGCCGCCUCGUGCUUCUGCUUCCGCUUCUAGUGCCGCGACGCCGCCGCCGCCGCAGCAGCAGCAGAAAGAGAAAGACCUCGUCUUCGUGGCCGGCGCCACCGGAAGAGUUGGCUCCCGAGCCGUAAGGGAGCUCAUCAAGCUUGGCUUCCGUGUCCGCGCUGCCGUCAGGAACGCGGAGAGGGCGUCGUCCCUGGUGCAGGU
rnacentral:lncRNA from 1 species